rnacentral:rRNA from 1 species
UACGUAGGGUGCGAGCGUUGUCCGGAAUUAUUGGGCGUAAAGGGCUCGUAGGCGGUCUGUCACGUCGAAAGUGAAAACUCAGGGCUCAACCCUGAGCCUGCUCCGAUACGGCAGACUAGAGGUAUGCAGGGGAGAAUGGAAUCCUGGUGUAGCGGUGAAAUGCGUAGAUAUCUGGAGGAACACCGGUGGCGAAGGCGGCAUCCUGGACCAACACUGACGCUGAGAGCGAAAGCCAGGGGAGCAAACGG